AUUGAACGCUGGCGGCAUGCCUUACACAUGCAAGUCGAACGGUAACAGGUUAAGCUGACGAGUGGCGAACGGGUGAGUAAUGUAUCGGAACGUGCCCAGUCGUGGGGGAUAACUGCUCGAAAGAGCAGCUAAUACCGCAUACGACCUGAGGGUGAAAGCGGGGGAUCGCAAGACCUCGCGCGAUUGGAGCGGCCGAUAUCAGAUUAGGUAGUUGGUGGGGUAAAAGCCCACCAAGCCAACGAUCUGUAGAUGGUCUGAGAGGACGACCAGCCACACUGGGACUGAGACACGGCCCAGACUCCUACGGGAGGCAGCAGUGGGGAAUUUUGGACAAUGGACGCAAGUCUGAUCCAGCCAUGCCGCGUGCGGGAAGAAGGCCUUCGGGUUGUAAACCGCUUUUGUCAGGGAAGAAAAGGUUCUGGUUAAUACCUGGGACUCAUGACGGUACCUGAAGAAUAAGCACCGGCUAACUACGUGCCAGCAGCCGCCGCCGUAA
rnacentral:rRNA from 1 species